GUCCGGAUGGCGGAAUGGUAGACGCGCUACUUUGAGGGGGUAGUGAUCAUUGGAUCGUGUGAGUUCGAGUCUCAUUUCGGACA
rnacentral:tRNA from 1 species